rnacentral:rRNA from 1 species
GACGAACGCUGGCGGCGUGCUUAACACAUGCAAGUCGAACGGUAAGGCCCUUCGGGGUACACGAGUGGCGAACGGGUGAGUAACACGUGGGUGAUCUGCCCUGCACUUCGGGAUAAGCCUGGGAAACUGGGUCUAAUACCGGAUAGGACCCUGGGAUGCAUGUCCUGGGGUGGAAAGCUUUUGCGGUGUGGGAUGGGCCCGCGGCCUAUCAGCUUGUGGGUGGGGUGAUGGACUACCAAGGCGACGACGGGUAGCCGGCCUGAGAGGGUGACCGGCCACACUGGGACUGAGAUACGGCCCAGACUCCUACGGGAGGCAGCAGUGGGGAAUAUUGCACAAUGGGCGCAAGCCUGAUGCAGCGACGCCGCGUGAGGGAUGACGGCCUUCGGGUUGUAAACCUCUUUCAGCACCGACGAAGCGCAAGUGACGGUAGGUGCAGAAGAAGGACCGGCCAACUACGUGCCAGCAGCCGCAGUAA